rnacentral:rRNA from 1 species
GACGAACGCUGGCGGCGUGCUUAACACAUGCAAGUCGAACGGAAAGGCCCUGCUUUUGUGGGGUGCUCGAGUGGCGAACGGGUGAGUAACACGUGAGUAACCUGCCCUUGACUUUGGGAUAACUUCAGGAAACUGGGGCUAAUACCGGAUAGGAGCUCCUGCUGCAUGGUGGGGGUUGGAAAGUUUCGGCGGUUGGGGAUGGACUCGCGGCUUAUCAGCUUGUUGGUGGGGUAGUGGCUUACCAAGGCUUUGACGGGUAGCCGGCCUGAGAGGGUGACCGGCCACAAUGGGACUGAGAUACGGCCCAGACUCCUACGGGAGGCAGCAGUGGGGAAUAUUGCACAAUGGGCGGAAGCCUGAUGCAGAGACGCCGCGUGCGGGAUGACGGCCUUCGGGUUGUAAACCGCUUUCGCCUGUGACGAAGCGUGAGUGACGGUAAUGGGUAAAGAAGCACCGGCUAACUACGUG